GAGAAAACAUCUCAGGAGAAGCAGAAACUACUGGAACUGGGUUAAAACUGUCCAACCAUCAUUAAAACUGGAAGGAUGGUGGGAACCAUCGUCUUCCAGGAAGAAAUGUGGUCAGAAACACAUCCUGAAUGAUGGUGAUCGGUGGUUCAACGUUUGGUGGAGCCAGAUGGAAGAAAAACAGCAGUAGAACUCAGGACCAUGUUUAAUAGUGAAAGCCUGAAUAUCCUGAAU